GUCGCUCUUCACUUCCCUCCCCACUCUCUUCUUUCACUCCCUCGGUCAAAACCCAUAACCAAGAAAAAAAACAGCCCUGCUUCUCCUCUCUACUCUCUGUUUCUUUCCAAUCGGCAGAAAACAGCCUCCAUGGCCUAAACCAAGGCCACCGAACUGGCCACCGCAUCAGGGUGGUCACGCUACUCUCCGAUCAAUCUCUAAAUCUGAGGCCUAAACCUCUUCAAAACCAAACGAAAUCGCUCACAUCCCGACGCUUUGUCUCGCAGCCAAGGUAAGUUCUCUCUAUCUCGCUCUUUGCCGUUUUGUUUCAAAAAAAAUUAUUUACCAAGAUUAACGUCCAUUUUUCUUCUCUGGUUACUGAACUCGAACGGUGAUGAAAAUGGAGUCAACGAGACUCCACUGGAACUUGCACCACUCACUGGGCGGCAAUAAUUGGGCAGCAAGUUGGUUAGGUGAGUAGGGUCGAUUAAAGAAAUAAAUGUUGCUCACAGCUUUCAAAAUGAUCCAACGGGCGCCAACCAACGUUGUAAUUUUGGAGGUACCAAAGCUUUGAAUAUAAUAAAGCUUUGAAUUUUGAGACCACGAAAUAAAAGGUGGGGUAUAAUAAUGUCUGAGUGGUUGAAAUAUGGAAGUCUGACUCAGUAGUGAAAACUACUCACACAGUGGCCCGAAGGAGAAACAAGAGGCCAAAGAUCAUGUGUGUGCUAAGUCCUAACAUCAUUUAGUGGCCACUUUGAUGACAACAAAAAUAGUACUGGUAGGCCAAUGCAACCUCUGAUGCGAUUGGAAAAUCAAAAGUUAGUUAGGUGCAUGAACUUUAUUUUAUGAUUUUUUUUGGGAUAAAAUAUUGGUGCUUACAGGGAGCAUCGACUUGCUUGCACAUGACCCAUGGCACACCAGUUCCGAGGUCCACCGCCAUUUGUGCUGCCCAUUUAACUAAAACAGCUUCUCCUUCAUGGAAAGCUGCUUCCACGUUUUGGUAUUCAUUCUCUAUCUGCAAAUUUAUUUCAUGGUUCACACAAGUUUUUGUCAGUUUUGAAAAUAAAAGAAGUUUAGACGAACCGAUCAACUUGAA